rnacentral:rRNA from 1 species
GAUGAAUGCUGGCGGUAGGCCUAACACAUGCAAGUCGAACGGCAGCACAGUAAGAGCUUGCUCUUACGGGUGGCGAGUGGCGGACGGGUGAGGAAUACAUCGGAAUCUACUUUUUCGUGGGGGAUAACGUAGGGAAACUUACGCUAAUACCGCAUACGACCUACGGGUGAAAGCAGGGGAUCUUCGGACCUUGCGCGAUUGAAUGAGCCGAUGUCGGAUUAGCUAGUUGGCGGGGUAAAGGCCCACCAAGGCGACGAUCCGUAGCUGGUCUGAGAGGAUGAUCAGGCACACUGGAACUGAGCCACGGUCCAGACUCCUACGGGAGGCAGCAGUGGGGAAUAUUGGACAAUGGGCGCAAGCCUGAUCCAGCCAUACCGCGUGGGUGAAGAAGGCCUUCGGGUUGUAAAGCCCUUUUGUUGGGAAAGAAAUCCAGCCGGCUAAUACCUGGUUGGGAUGACGGUACCCAAAGAAUAAGCACCGGCUAACUUCGUGCCAGCCGCCGCCGUAA